GACGAACGCUGGCGGCGUGCUUAACACAUGCAAGUCGAGCGGUAAGGCCCUUUCGGGGGUACGACGAGCGGCGAACGGGUGAGUAACACGUGGGUGACCUGCCCUUAGCUCUGGGAUAAGCCUGGGAAACUGGGUCUAAUACCGGAUAUGACUCCAUGAUGCAUGUUGUGGGGUGGAAAGCCUUGUGCGGCUAGGGAUGGGCCCGCGGCCUAUCAGCUUGUUGGUGGGGUGANGGCCUACCAAGGCGACGACGGGUAGCCGGCCUGAGAGGGCGACCGGCCACACUGGGACUGAGACACGGCCCAGACUCCUACGGGAGGCAGCAGUGGGGAAUCUUGCGCAAUGGGCGAAAGCCUGACGCAGCGACGCCGCGUGAGGGAUGACGGCCU
rnacentral:rRNA from 1 species